UACGGGAGGCAGCAGUGGGGAAUAUUGCACAAUGGGCGCAAGCCUGAUGCAGCCAUGCCGCGUGUAUGAAAAAGGCCUUCGGGUUGUAAAGUACUUUCAGUCGUGAGGAAGGUGUUAAGGUUAAUAACCUUAGCAAUUGACGUUAGCGACAGAAGAAGCACCGGCUAACUCCGUGCCAGCAGCCGCGGUAAUACGGAGGGUGCGAGCGUUAAUCGGAAUUACUGGGCUAAAGGGCACGCAGGCGGUUAAUUAAGUUGGAUGUGAAAUCCCCGGGCUUAACCUGGGAAUGGCAUUCAAGACUGGUUAGCUAGAGUCUUGUAGAGGGGGUAGAAUUCCAUGUGUAGCGGUGAAAUGCGUAGAGAUGUGGAGGAAUACCGGUGGCGAAGGCGGCCCCUGGACAAAGGCUGACGCUCAUGUGCGAAAGCGUGGGGAGCAAACAGGGAUUAGAUACC
rnacentral:rRNA from 1 species